UGAGAACUGAAUUCCAUGUGUUGUAAUUGAAUCUCUGUCAGACCCAUGGGGCUCAGUUCUUCA
rnacentral:pre_miRNA from 1 species